UUUACGCAUGUAUAAUGAAAUAUUUGAAAAUUAAAAAUUUACAAGUAUAAAAAAAUUAAACUAAAAAGUUCUAAGAUUUUUUUUAUUUUUAUAUUUUAAUUUUUUUAUAUUUUUACCAAAAUUCACAUAAUAACUAACAGAAUAAUUUAAAUUACAAUUAAAAUUCACAUAGUAACCUAUAUAAGAAAUUAAUUGAGCAAAUACUAAAAAAACUCAAAACCUAAAUUUUAAAAAAAAUUCCUCAAAAUUCUAUUACAUUGUGAAAAAUAGAUGGAGUGAACUAUAAAAUUAGUUUAUUUUUGUAUUUAUUUUGAUUUUUUUUUUUUGGAGGUUUAGACAGCUGUUAAUUCUGGUGGCAACGGUUGUCUUAGGUGGGUUUCAAUUAUUAUUUAUGUGGACACAGAAUGCAUGGGAUUGGGUUGGAAGCUAUAUAAUUAUUAAUGACCAAAUUAGCUGUCUAAAAUAAAAUCUGAUUCUCUUGUUUGUUUUUAACACAAAAUUAUUAUUAUUAUUAUUAUUAUUAUGAGUGGAUGGAUAAUUUUGGAUCUCGAAAUUUGAACAACAAACAUGUUACAUGUCCAACUAUUUUGAUCUCAUCUUAUUAUUAUUAUUAUUAUUAUUAUUUCAAAGGAGACUGCCACGUAGGAUACUAUUUGACUUUGUGUGGAUCAAAGCUCAAAUUAAUAACGAGGUAAUUAUAGUUGACUUGAUUAUAGCGCUUUCAAUUCUUUUUUUUUUAUUAUUAUUUAUUUUUUAAAAAAAUAAAGAAUCUUUGAAAUUAUUUAAUUUGUUUUAAUUUAUUUAUUUAUUUAAAACAGUGGGCUAUAUAGGAAUUCUAUUGUCAGAGUAGUGUGAUGGAUGGGAAUCUUGUAGUAUGAGUCUAUGAGAUUGUUCAAUGUUGAUCCACGAAUGUUCUCGAGAAGAUAACCUUCUUUCAUUAUUUAUUGUUCAAAUAUUUUAGUAGAUGUAGAUUCAAAAUAAAAGUCUAAUUAGUGGCAAGUGAUAUGGAUGGAUUUGUUCUACUGUCUUGUGUUUAUUUAAAUAGGCUAAUUAAUAAUUUUUCUUUUGAA